UCAUAUCAUAAGGUUUUGGUAUAUAACUUGACAACUAUAACAUCAACAUUACAGUAUCAUAAUACAGAAGCAUACCUUGAUACAAGUGCUCAAUACAUUGACCUCCUCACAUUUCAUUCUCCAAAAUGCAGAAAUCAGAGACCCAGGCAAAUCAGCCUCCACCAGGAUAUCCAACUGAGAAUCCUCCCGCCAAAAGAAAGUUGUUCUACCGUACGAAGAAGAAAGGAGAGAGGGGCUUCAUUGAGGGAUGCCUCUUUGCUCUGUGCUGCUGCUGUAUUUGGGAAGAAUGCUGCUGAACUACAACUAUGGCAGGAGAGCCAUAUUACUGGUAUAUUAGCAAGCAACGACUGUUACUGCUUCUGUAAUGGGUUGUUAAAGUUUAAAUCUAAUGGUUGUAUUACUUACUACCUCACCCUGUAAACUCAUUGUAAUAUCGUACUCAUCUACUUACUGCUUAUUGUAUUCAAAUAAAACUAGAAUCCUUGUUUUAUCUAGCA